rnacentral:rRNA from 1 species
UGGGGAAUCUUGCGCAAUGGGCGAAAGCCUGACGCAGCAACGCCGCGUGAGCGAAGACGGCCUUCGGGUUGUAAAGCUCUGUCAGGAGGGACGAAGCCACUCAGGUGAAUAGCCGAGAGGGUGACGGUACCUCCAGAGGAAGCCCCGGCUAACUACGUGCCAGCAGCCGCGGUAAUACGUAGGGGGCAAGCGUUGUCCGGAAUCAUUGGGCGUAAAGCGCGUGUAGGCGGCCAUCCAAGUCCGAUGUGAAAGCUCGGGGCUCAACCCCGAGUCUGCAUUGGAAACUGGAUGGCUUGAGUCCGGAAGAGGAGACUGGAAUUCCUGGUGUAGCGGUGAAAUGCGCAGAUAUCAGGAAGAACACCGGUGGCGAAGGCGGGUCUCUGGGACGGUACUGACGCUGAGACGCGAAAGCGUGGGGAGCAAACA